ACUCCUACGGGAGGCAGCAGUGAGGAAUAUUGCACAAUGGGGGGAACCCUGAUGCAGCAACGCCGCGUGGAGGAUGACGCAUUUCGGUGUGUAAACUCCUUUUAUAUGUCAAGAAAAUGACGGUAGCAUAUGAAUAAGCACCGGCUAACUCCGUGCCAGCAGCCGCGGUAAUAC
rnacentral:rRNA from 1 species